GCUGCUGGACUGAAGUGUGCCUCCUCAUAGACUCUGACGGCCCAGCCUCAUGGUCAGAAACAAACUGAAUGUCUAGAGAUACAGCCCUGUGAUCAUGGAGAGGUGAUGAUGGUCCUUCCUCCUCUGCUCUGCCCUCAGCUCUCUCUUCCACACCCUUUGUCCAACCACCAUCAGUCUUGAAAAAUCCCAUGCGGUGCAGAGUAUGGCGGUUGAUAGUGUCAGAGUGAGAA
rnacentral:lncRNA from 1 species